AACCAAGGUGCUGAUAGCUGCAGUGAUGGACAGAGCAGGAAGCUGAAGACUAAAAGAGGCCCAGUAUCAAAAGCUGCUUCAGGCUGAAAACUCAUUAAUAAUAACCAUCAGCACUGAGAUUUCUUAACUCACCUUGACUGAG
rnacentral:lncRNA from 12 species